AGGACGAACGCUGGCGGCGUGCUUAACACAUGCAAGUCGAGCGAGACCCUGCCUUCGGGUGGGUGUUCUAGCGGCGAACGGGUGAGUAACACGUGGGCAACCUGCCCUCAGCUCUGGGAUAACUCCAAGAAAUUGGGGCUAAUACCGGAUAUGACCGCUGACCGCAUGGUCUGGUGGUGGAAAGUAUUUAUCGGCUGGGGAUGGGGCCCGCGGCCUAUCAGCUUGUUGGUGGGGUAGUGGCCUACCAAGGCGACGACGGGGUAGCCGGCCUGAGAGGGU
rnacentral:rRNA from 1 species